rnacentral:rRNA from 1 species
UACGUAGGGUCCGAGCGUUGUCCGGAAUUACUGGGCGUAAAGAGCUCGUAGGUGGUUUGUCGCGUUGUUCGUGAAAACUCACAGCUCAACUGUGAGCGUGCGAGCGAUACGGGCAGACUGGAGUACUGCAGGGGAGACUGGAAUUCCUGGUGUAGCGGUGGAAUGCGCAGAUAUCAGGAGGAACACCGGUGGCGAAGGCGGGUCUCUGGGCAGUAACUGACGCUGAGGAGCGAAAGCGUGGGGAGCGAACAGG